CCCUUAGAUGUCCGGGGCUGCACGCGCGCUACACUGAAGGAAUCAGCGUGCUAAAACCAUUGUCGAAAGGCAUUGGUAAACCCAUUAAAAUCCUACGUGAUUGGGAUCGGGAAUUGCAAUUAUUUCCCUUGAACGAGGAAUUCCCAGUAAGUGUGGGUCAUAAGCUCGCGUUGAUUACGUCCCUGCCCUUUGUGCACACCGCCCGUCGCUGCCCGGGACUGAGCCGUUUCGAGAAAAGCGGGGACUGCUGCUGUCGGGGCUUUCGGGCCUUGGCUUCGGUGGAAACCGCUUUAAUCGCANUNGCUUGANCCGGGCAAAANUCGUANCA
rnacentral:rRNA from 1 species